GAUGAAGAACGUAGUGAAAUGCGAAAAGUAAUGUGAAUUGCAGAAUUCAGUGAAUCAUCGAAUCUUUGAACGCACAUUGCGCCCGCCAGUAUUCUGGCGGGCAUGCCUGUCUGAGCGUCAUUUCAACCCUCAUGCCCCUAGGGCGUGGUGUUGGGGAUCGGCCAAAGCCCGCGAGGGACGGCCGGCCCCUAAAUCUAGUGGCGGACCCGUCGUGGCCUCCUCUGCGAAGUAGUGAUAUUCCGCAUCGGAGAGCGACGAGCCCCUGCCGUUAAACCCCCAACUUUCCAAGGUUGACCUCAGAUCAGGUAGGAAUACCCGCUGAACUUAAGCAUAUCAAUAAGCGGAGGA
rnacentral:misc_RNA from 1 species